GUAACUCUGUUGUAGGGAAGAACAAGUGCAUAGUAUGAUGGCGCCUUGACGGCUACCAAAAGCCACGGUACUACGUGCCAGCAGCGCGGUAAUACGUAGUGGAAGCGUUGUCCGGAAUUAUGGGCGUAAAGCGCUCGCAGGCGGUUCUUAAGUCUGAUGUGAAAUCUUACGGCUCAACCGUAAACGUGCAUUGGAAACUGGGGAACUUGAGUGCAGAAGAGGAGAGUGGAAUUCCACGUGUAGCGGUGAAAUGCGUAGAGAUGUGGAGGAACACCAGUGGCGAAGGCGACUCUCUGGUCUGUAACUGACGCUGAGGAGCGAAAGCGUGGGGAGCGAACCGGAUUAGAUACCCUGGUAGUCCACGCCGUACACGAUGAGUGCUA
rnacentral:rRNA from 1 species